AUGAGAAGCAGUGGUCUUGAGGCUCAAUCUCGAAAUGCUGAUAGAUCAGUUGUCACUCAUUUUUUGCAAGCACAUCCGACGGACUAUGCAACUAAGAAAUUACAGGAGAUGAUCCGUCUGAUGAAGAAGAGAAAUCUCCCUGCAGCUUUCAAAUGUUACUGGAAUUACCAAAAAAUUGAUUCUCUUUCAAAUGAUAACUUGUAUUACAAGAUGGUUAUCCAUGUGCACAAGGAUUCUGCUUUUAGACGUUAUCAGCAAGAGAUGAGGAAAAAUCAAGAGUUGUGGCCACUGUACAGAGGUUUCUUUGUUGAUGUAAACCUGUUCAAGGCUGCUGAACUUUCCAAAGACAGUAACGCUUUACCAGAAAAUAUCAAUGGUGUUUCGAAUUCAAGAUCGUCAACUAAGGAUGGUCUGGUUGAUGAGGAUUCAAAUUUGAUGGUUAAACUAAAAUUCCUGACCUAUAAGAUAAGGACGGUUUUAAUUCGAAAUGGCCUGUCCACCCUCUUCAAAGAUGGCCUGUCCUUCAAAGAUGGCCUGUCUGCCUACAGAACGUACUACCUGAGGCAAAUGGAGAUCUGGGGAACAUCGGCAAGUAAGCAAAAAGAACUUGCCAAAAUGUUGGACGAAUGCUGUCUACAUCAGACGGGAGUGCGGGGAUGCGCAACCGUCAUCCUCGACAUAUCUUACUGA
rnacentral:rRNA from 1 species